UCAGAUGUGAAAGCCCGGGGCUUAACCCCGGAAGUGCAUUUGAAACUAAAGGACUUGAGUAUGGGAGAGGGAAGUGGAAUUCCUGGUGUAGAGGUGAAAUUCGUAGAUAUCAGGAGGAACACCGGUGGCGAAGGCGACUUCCUGGACCAAUACUGACGCUGAGGCGCGAAGGCGUGGGGAGCAAACAGGAUUAGAUACCCUGGUAGUCCACGCAGUAAACGAUGAACACUAGGUGUAGCGGGUAUUGACCCCUGCUGUGCCGCAGUUAACGCAUUAAGUGUUCCGCCUGGGGAGUACGACCGCAAGGUUAAAACUCAAAGGAAUU
rnacentral:rRNA from 1 species